rnacentral:rRNA from 1 species
UACGAAGGGGCUAGCGUUGCUCGGAAUUACUGGGCGUAAAGCGCACGUAGGCGGCUUUCUAAGUCGGGGUGAAUCCUGGAGCUCAACUCCAGAACUGCCUUCGAUACUGGAAAGCUCGAGUCCGGGAGAGGUGAGUGGAACUGCGAGUGUAGAGGUGAAAUUCGUAGAUAUUCGCAAGAACACCAGUGGCGAAGGCGGCUCACUGGCCCGGUACUGACGCUGAG